GAUGAACGCUGGCGGCGUGCCUAAUACAUGCAAGUCGAGCGAACAGACGAGGAGCUUGCUCCUCUGACGUUAGCGGCGGACGGGUGAGUAACACGUGGAUAACCUACCUAUAAGACUGGGAUAACUUCGGGAAACCGGAGCUAGUACCGGAUAAUAUAUUGAACCGCAUGGUUCAAUAGUGAAAGACGGUUUUGCUGUCACUUAUAGAUGGAUCCGCGCCGCAUUAGCUAGUUGGUAAGGUAACGGCUUACCAAGGCAACGAUGCGUAGCCGACCUGAGAGGGUGAUCGGCCACACUGGAACUGAGACACGGUCCAGACUCCUACGGGAGGCAGAAGUAGGGAAUCUUCCGCAAUGGGCGAAAGCUUGACGGAGCAACGCCGCGUGAGUGAUGAAGGUCUUCGGAUCGUAAAACUCUGUUAUUAGGGAAGAACAAAUGUGUAAGUAACUAUGCACGUCUUGACGGUACCUAAUCAGAAAGCCACGGCUAACUACGUG
rnacentral:rRNA from 1 species